UGCAAUCUCGUGACUUCCUGC
rnacentral:piRNA from 1 species